ACCCUGGCCUCCAUCUUGAAAACGGAAAAUAAAAACAGCAGACCUAUGAAGGUCGAAGGGGAAGAAAAGCUGUAUCGAUUGUUGAGAUCUGGCGACUUGUUUAAAUUUCAUCAGCCUCACUUCUAUGAACUCUCAGAGCUGAUUACCAACUCCUACCACUGUUAACCCUCAUCCAGGAACAAGCUUAUGUCUUUAACAUUCUGAGUGGGCUUCAGCAUCCUUGCAUAUGUUCAAUUCUUAAAAACCUGUUGAAAUAAAAGAUCAGGAGACAUAGGAAGGAUGCCAGAAGAGAGCGUGGCCUCACGUGUACCAGCUCUCUGCUCUCCUUUGCCUUGGGACGUUCCAUCCCUGGAAGUUUCCCUGCCCACAUCUUUGUAGAGAGUCCAUUCUCCAAGCUUCAGUGUGUCAUCUGUGAGGACCGUGACCCACCUGGUACAUCGCCUCAGGGCAUUCAUUUCAGGCUCCUUCUAAAUGGCCAAGGUAAACCUCAGGUUCUCCUCCUGCCUUUUGCUAAGUAUAUGUCUUGAUGACAAGCCUUCUGCUGAUGAGCUGUGUUUCUGGACCGAUCAUGGUAGAAGUCAAUUAACGUGUCCCUCACUUGGGGUUUCUCAAGGCUGCACUGAUGAGGAAACUGAAACAGAAAAUCCAGAGUAAAUUCCACCAGGCCACACAGCAAGGUCUGAUAGAGCCAGGAGAGACUUUAUGAAAUCCAGACUCUCACACUAAUGCUCUAUCAGCUAGACCUCCAUGUGAGUCUCCCCAAUGUAGGUAGGAAGUGCUUUCCCUAAAAUGCUCAUAAAGCAAAUCAGAGCAAUGCUGCAUUCCAUGUGAUUUCUAAUUUGAAAUGCAAACAAUUGCCAAUUUGUUUGACUUGUAUUUAUAAUUAUUUCCUUGUGAAUUACUCAUCACUAAAUGCUUUAUAAAUAUUUUCUCUUUUUUUCCUCAAUGUCUAUGGAAUGAUCACAGCAUAGAAAAUGUUGGCUUUCAAGGAUUUAUUAAUAUCUCCUUUUGAAAUAACAUGUAUUUGUAAGACAGAAUAAAAUCACUUUAAAGAAACAAA
rnacentral:lncRNA from 1 species